AGUUUACUUUGGAUUCUUAGCGGCGGACGGGUGAGUAACGCGUGGGCAACCUACCCUGUACAGGGGGAUAACAAUGGGAAACCAUUGCUAAUACCCCAUGACGCCUUUUGGGGGCAUCCCUAAAAGGUCAAAGAACUUCGGUACAGGAUGGGCCCGCGUCUGAUUAGCUAGUUGGUGAGGUAAUGGCUCACCAAGGCGACGAUCAGUAGCCGGCCUGAGAGGGUGAACGGCCACACUGGAACUGAGACACGGUCCAGACUCCUACGGGAGGCAGCAGUGGGGAAUAUUGCACAAUGGGGGAAACCCUGAUGCAGCAACGCCGCGUGAGCGAUGAAGGCCUUCGGGUCGUAAAGCUCUGUCCUAAGGGAAGAUAAUGACGGUACCUUAGGAGGAAGCCCCGGCUAACUACGUGCCAGCAGCCGCGGUAAUACGUAGGGGGCAAGCGUUAUCCGGAAUCAUUGGGCGUAAAGGGUGCGUAGGCUGCCCUAUAGGUCAGAGGUCAAAGGCUACGGCUCAACCGUAGUAAGCCUUUGAAACUGUAGGGCUUGAGUGCAGGAGAGGAGAGUGGAAUUCCUAGUGUAGCGGUGAAAUGCGUAGAUAUUAGGAGGAACACCAGUGGCGAAGGCGACUCUCUGGACUGCAACUGACGCUGAGGCACGAAAGCGUGGGUAGCGAACAGGAUUAGAUACCCUGGUAGUCCACGCCGUAAACGAUGAGUGCUAGGUGUUGGGGGUCGAACCUCGGUGCCGAAGUUAACGCAUUAAGCACUCCGCCUGGGGAGUACGUACGCAAGUAUGAAACUCAAAGGAAUUGACGGGGACCCGCACAAGCAGCGGAGCAUGUGGUUUAAUUCGAAGCAACGCGAAGAACCUUACCUGGACUUGACAUCCCUCGGACCGCUUUUUAACCAAAGCCUUCCCUUCGGGGACUGAGUGACAGGUGGUGCAUGGUUGUCGUCAGCUCGUGUCG
rnacentral:rRNA from 1 species